GUUGUUUGAUAAACAUUCUGUGGCUGGGUUCAUACCAUAGUGAGUGUGCUGCUGUAAGACCUUUUUGAGGAGUUUUAAAUUUAUGAAUUAAGAGUUUUGCUUGGUUAAGAGGGAUGAAAGUGGGCCUGCUUUCUGGCGUUUUAAAGUACAUUCCCUGCAUGUUGUUUGGGCUUGACUUCUAUUAAAUAAUAACAAUAAAAAUAUUAUUACUGUCAUUACAAUUCUCCAUUCCUUUCUUUUGAGGUGAGUUUUUCAAAUAAGCAUGGAUUGAAAUCUUAAAAAUUAGCUUAUAUCUAAAAAGAUUCAGGAGAUUCUAACAAAUUUCAUAAACACAAUUCUAUAAUUAUGGUUUAUAUUUUCAGUCUGUUCCAAAUUUGAUAUUUAAGUACCUACAACAUAUGAGGUAUGUAUAAACAUAAUUAUAUAUCAUAAUGGCUACCAUAUAGUGAAUACCUAUGAUAUUUCAGGUUCUAUUAUCCUAACAAACAUACUUAUUAAUUAGGUAUUAUGUAAUAUGUCUUUUUACAGAGAAAGAAACUGAGGCUUAGUGAAAUAAGUAAGUGGUUCAAGGCCACUCAGUUAAUAAAUAGAGCCAAGAUUCCAAAUUAUCUUUUUUGACCCCAAAACAUAUGCCCUUCCCACUACCUCUAUAUUACCUUCAACAUGAGUUUCUUUAAAAACAUUAACAACGGACACCUGGGUGGCUCAGUCAGUUGCGUGUCCGACUCUUGAUUUCAGCUCAGGUUAUGAUCCCAGGGUUGUGGGAUCGAGCCCCAUGUCUCACUCCAUGCUGAGCAUGGGACCUGUUUGGGGUUGUGUGUCUCUCUCUCUCUCUCUCUCUCUCUCUCUCUCUCUCUCUCCCUCUCUCUCCCCCUUUGCCCCCUCUCCCACUCUCUCUCUGUCUCUCAAAUAAAGAAAAUUAUAAAAAAAAAUAAAAAUGAUAACAGCAAAACUCUAUAAAAUGUUUCUUUGUUAUAAAGCCCUAGACACCAAAGGGCAUCUUGAGCAUGGGGCAGUGGGGAAGAAAAAUGGUAGAUAUAGGGGUAAGAAUAAGUAUAAGAAACAUAAUCAGGGUGAAUUCACAAGGACUUGGCCUCUAAUCCAGUACUGGGCAAGAGGAAGAAGUUUAAAUUUACCAGUGAUGUUUGGGAAGAUAAUGAUUGAAAUUAUAGACAACAUAAAAGGAGGAACCAGUUAGGUGGUGAUGAUGGUGGGUAGAAGGGAAUAUGAUACAGUGUUUGGUUUGGGACAUGGGGAUAUGGAGAUCCCCUAAAGGUGGUUAGAACAUUUGUCUGGUUUAUACUGAGGCAUGGCUCAUUUCCUCCAGAUAGGUGCUCUUUCUUUGAGGGUAUAAUGCUUCUCAGAUGGAUGCCUGCGUCUACAGUCCCUCUGUGCCUUCCCCCAGCUCCCCACCCAGUGCAUUGGGCACAGCAAGUCUUAAAUAGGUAAUACACGUGUCAGAUAAAAGAGUAAAAGAUUUAAAGUCAUCUGUGUAGGUCAGGGUUUCUAAACAGUGGCACCGUUGACAUUUUGGGCCAGAUGAUUCUUUGUUGUUGGGGCUAUCCUGGGCAUUGUAGGGUGUUUAGCAGCAUCCCUGGCCUCUGCUUUCCAGGUACCAAUAGCACCCUCCCCCCCUGGUUUUGGCAGCCAAAAGCAUCACCAGACAUUGCCCAGUGUCGCCUGGGUGGUAGAAUCACUCCCAGUUGAGAACUGUUGACAUAGAUAAAGUCCAGAAGAGUAGGUGUGUUCUCUGGUAGAGAUUAUAUGGAUAAAAGAAAAGAAGACUGAGGAUUUAGACAGAGAGUAUCCACCCUGCCCCCCAACUAAUUGGGAGUCAGAAAGCAAAAAGCUAGCAUGACAGGACAAACACAUAUCUGGGAAGUGGGUGGCAUGGAAAUUGAGGCCGGAGAGUGUUCCUAGGGAAACAACUGAUUGGAAGUGUCAUGUUGGAUUGUUGGAUUUGGAGAUUAGAUCAUUGGCCACAUUGAUUGUUUUCAUCAGAACCUAGAUUCCAGGUCAUUCAUGACAGGAAGGUCAAAAUACUAGGAUGCAAAGUUUUUGUGUGGCAGUAGGACCAUACCUCACUUUUAGGAGAAAUAGAAGGGUCAGAUUCCAAGACCAUCCAAGACCAUUCACUUCCCUUAUUGGUGGUGUUGUCAUUUUGGCAGGGUAGGCUUUCUUCCUCAGACAAUUAAUUUUGAGUUUUCUUCUUGGCUGUCCUUUUUUGAGAUGUUCAUAUUCUUUCAUCAUGAGUUUUGGAAACUUUGCUUGUAGGAAAUACUAGAUAUUCAACACACACACACACACACACACAUGCACACACACACACACACACACACACACACACACACAAAGCUUUGUGCUUCUUUUACCUUAAAAUAAUAGAGUCUUAAAAUAGUGCUCCCUGGGCACCAUGUGCCAUGUAGCACAUAAUGCUGGCAGAUCUACAAGCUCCCCAACAAAGAGCUGAGAUACAGCACAGGAGUGAGUGGGCACAGCUCUGAGCUCAUUUUCUAGGGAGAGAUUGACAGGACCCUGGCACAAUCUAUUGUGCAUUCCAGACCUGGCCAGCACCUCCUCCCAACUCACUGUUUCUUUCCCCUACGGUCACUGUCCAUUUCUAUCAUCACGGCCAUAGAAACAUUGUUUUCCUGUUGCUGUCGUCAGUAAGCCUAAAACAUUGAACUUUCUUUUUUUUUUUCCUCCUUUCCCCUCCCUGAGAUGCUUGGUGUUUAUUAACUUUUUACAGGCCUUGACUUUCCUUCAUACUCUUCAGAUUAAAGUAUUUUUCAAUGUAUUUAGUCAGUGGUGUGUUUAGCCUGUAUCUGACAAUAGCUAUAGUACAUCUCCCCUAUUUUGGUUGUUUCAAAUUCGUUUGUUCUACAAAAUCGGAUCUGUUUUGUUCCUUCAAUCCCUGUGUCUCUCAGGGAGGCUUCUGCCAGCUAACCUCAGAUCAGGGUGUGUGCCAAUUAGUAACAUAAACUAUGAGUCACGCAGGCAAACUGAGAUUCACUCAGUAACUGUUUGAGGACUUACAGGGAGUAAGGCAGUGUGCUGGCUACAGAGCUGAAUAUGAAAAUGAAUAAGAAGACCAGCCCUCAAGAAAUUGACAGUCUCAUAAUACAAAUAUGUAAAUGACUGUGUUCCCACAGCACCAAAUAUAUCUUUUAUUGUAGUACUUGAUACUUGUGUUAAUGGUUCUUUCCAAUUACUUAUGACAGAAAUACAUUAGGAACCAUGGAAUGGUACACUGUGUUAGAGAGGUUUAAGGCAACUCAUUUACAUAUUGCUUGUCGUGUUUUUUCCUCCAUUUGUUUUUUUAUUGUUGACAUAGGUAAAACAAACCCACAUCACUGCUAAGUGAAUAUUGGAAUAUGUGUUACUUCUUAAGAUCAGUAUUCUAGAUUGUCUUCUACCAUGCUAUGAAUUAAUGAUGUCUCGUUCUUCUUGUGGUCUUAUGCCUUUGUUCUUCAGCUGUGCUAACAUUUAACACACCAUGCUUCAUCCUGAGAACCUUCGAAUGUGUAACACAUUUUGUCAGCAAUGUUCAGUCUCCUCGUUUGUUCCUCCUCAUCCUUCAGAGCUCAGUUCUGUUGUCAUUUCUCAAAGAAGCCUUUCCUGACCUUUACACUAGGCAAGGUCUCCUGUUAAGGAUACUCAUGGCAUUCUGUAUUUCUCCUUCAUAGGACUUCAUCCUGUAGUAAGUAAGUGAGUAAUUGAGUAUUUGGUUUCCCUGGUAGAAAAUAUAUUCAUGUUUGUUUGCUUGUUUGCUUAUUUAUUUUGACACAGAGAGAGAGAGAGAGAGAGAGAGAGAGAGAAAGUGGGAGGGAAAUGGGAGUGGAGGAGGGGCAGAGAGAGAGGGAGACAGAAUCAAAAGCAGGCUCCGGUCUGUCAAUGUAAAGCCUGACUCAGGGCUCGAGCUCAUGAAACAUGAGAUUAUAACCUGAGCCGAAGUCAGAUGCUUAACUGACUGAGCCACCCAGGCACGCCAUGAGUAGAUGCUUUCUAAGUAAAAAGAGCAAAUCAAGGGCAUAAACAGGAGGCACAAGAGUAUGGAGUGUCUGAAGAAUCAAAGGUACUUUGGAAUUCAGAGGGUGAAAUAGGGAAGGCACCAUACCCAAGGGUUCUGACUUCUUCCUGACUCUGAUCUUCUCUCUGACUAUCCUCUUCCUAGUCUGUGCUCCAGUCACACUAGCCUGCUCUGUUUGUUGAACAUUCCCACUGGUUCCUACUUUUAUUAGGAGCAGCUUUGCACUUGUUGCUCCCUCUAUCUGGAACGCUCUUACCUGAGAUCUCACCUCUUUCUCAUCAUUCCGACCUCACCACGAAGAUCAUUCUCCCAGGAGACCUUCCCUGACCAUUUUAUUUGCCCAUCAAUUUACCAUUUUAUUUUCUUGAUAUCACUUAUCAUUAUCCAAAAUUCUUAUUUACUUAUUUGAAUAUUUAUUUAUUACAUAUCUCCCAUAGGUGUAAGAAAGACAGAGCACAAGCAGGGGAGGGGAGAGAGAGAGGGAGACACAGAAUCCAAAGCAGGCUCCAGGCUCCGAGCUGUCAGCACAGAGCCUGACGCGGGGCUCGAACUUACGAGCUGUGAGAUCAUGAUCUGAGCCGAAGUCGGACGCUCAACUGACAGAGCCACCCGGGUGCCCCCAGUGUUGGGAUUUUUGUCUGCCCUAUUCUUGCUAGGUCCUUCACACUUAGAACAGUACCUUCACAUAGUAGGCCUUCAAAUGUUUGAGUGAUUGAGUUGUACCUGGAGAGGAAGGCAAAGUCCCAGACCAGGAAAGGCCAUUUGUUUUGGUAAAGAGUUUAUCUCUUAUAAGUAGUGGGAAAUUAUCAAAAGCUGUUAAGCAGAAGGGUAAUAUGACCAAAUUUACAUUUUAGAAAGAAUAUUCUUUAAAAUUUUUUUCAUGUUUAUUUAUUUAUUUUUGAGAGAGACAGAGCACGAGCAGGGGAGGGGCAAACAAAGAGAGAGAGAGAGAGAGAGAGAGCAUCCCAAGCAAGCUCCUCACUGUCAGCACAGAGCCCGAUGUGAGGCUCAAACCCAUAAACUAUGAGGUCAUGACCUGAGCUGAAACCGAGUCAGAUGCUUCACCGACUGAGCCACCCAGGUGCCCCUGGAAAGAAUAUUCUUGAAUCAGGGUAGAUAGUGGAUUUGAGAGGAAUGAGAGUAAGAUGGGGAAGUGUCUUUGAAGACAAUUGCUUAUUCAAGUCUCUGCUCUCAUACCUAAAAACAUUCCCCACCCCCAGUUACUCUAUUCUUUUACCAUGCAUUCUUUCAUGGCAUCAUCCUUAUAUGAAAUGAUAGUUUUAAUUACUUAUUUGUUUCUCCCCUCCAUUAAAAUAUAAACUCCAGGGAUAUAACAGGAUCCCUGUGGACUUAGGAUGAUCUCCCCACUUCCCCCUAGUUUUUGGCUGAAGCAGCUAAAGGAUACCAUUAACCCAAGUAUGGCACACUAGAGAAAGAGGGGCAGCAGGUUUGGGGUGGAUGUGUUGCAUUUGAGGUGGCAUGGAGCAAUUCUAGGAGAGAAGCAGAAGGUAGCUAUUUGUGAGGGGAUGGAAAUUAUGUGAGAAGCUGGCCCUAGAGUUGUAGAUGGGUGAGUAGUCCUGUGCUGGCAGCAUUCAUGAGUGUGGGUCAGAUCUCUUUACAGACAACAGUUAGUUAAAAAGAGAAGGGGACCAAGCAUAUAACCCUCAGCAGAUACCAGCAUUUAACUGGCAGUCAAAGGAAGAAACAUUUGCAGAGGAAACCAGAGAACAUAUACUUAGAGAGGUAGGAGGAGAAACAGCACAGUGAUAUCAUGGAAGCUUAGGAAAGUGACAGUUAUUUUUUUUAAUUUAAAUGUUUGUUUAUUUUUGAGAGAGAGCGAGUGCUACAGCAGGGGAGGGGCAGAGAGAGGGGGAGACAGGAUCCGAAGCGGGUUCUGUGCUGACAGCAGAGAGCCCAAAGUGGGGUUCAGAUUUGAACCAUGAGAUCAUGACCUGAGCCAAAGUUGGACGCUUAAGCCACUGAGCCACCCUGGCACUCCAGGAAAGUGACAGUUUUAGGUAGGAUGAAGUGAUGGUCCGGAAUCCGUAUUGCAGAAUGGUCAAGUCAAAUAGAAAUGAGCCUGUAAAUCUGGAAAUAAGGAAGACAGUGGUUACCACAGUGAAUAUACUUUUCAUGAAUGAUGAGAAAUCUGAAUUGUACUUGUAUCACAUUUGGUUGAGGUAAUGAGAGGUUAUGAGGAAACAUUGAAGGCUUUGUUAGGUUGUAUUCCAUACAUACGGAUCGGUACCAGUUCACAAGGUUCUGGCAUUUAAAGCAGACACAGGAGGGUCGCCUGGGUUGCUUAGUUGGUUAAACCUCUGACUCUGGAUUUCAGCUCAGGUCAUGAUCUCACGGUUUUCUGGGUUCGAGCCCUGCAUCUGACUCUGAGCUGGCAGUGCAGAGCCUGCUUGGGAUUCUCUCUUUCCCCCUCCCCCACUUGUGCUAUCUCUCUCUC